AAAGCAAAGGCAAAAAUGGAGGAGGGCGCCAAAACAGAUUCUCGGCAAGCAGAGGGCGCCAGAAUAGAUUCGAAAAAAAGACCGAUUCACAGAAAACAAUAAUAAUAAAGAGUAGAAAAAUAUGGCAAAACCAAAACCAUCUCCUCUGCUUCGUGCCCAUCAUCAGCAUCACCAUUUGCCCCCUCUCCCUCACAUUUCCCUUUCCGACAUACACACAACUGAAACAGCAAUGGAUCUUUCAGAGUUAGCAAAGAAGCUUUCGCUCUCUGACUCUAAACUUGUCGUCCGCAAAGCCGCCGAGCUCCGUCGCCUCUCCGAUGUUCUCUUUGAUUCCUCCAUCAUCGGAGUCGGAGAAGUUGCCAAAGCUCUCAUCUGCUUGGAAAUCGCCGCUACCAGACUCGGGGUUCUGUUCGAUCGAUCUUGUGCGGUGAGGCUCAGCGGCUUAUCAGAAAAGGCUUACAUCCGAUGCUACAAUUCACUCCACAACGGUCUUGGGGUCAAGAUGAAGCUAGAUGUAAGGGAAUUGGCAAUUCAGUUUGGAUGCGUUCGGAUUAUCCCUUUGGUUCGGGAGGGGCUCAAGCUUUACAAGGACCGGUUUACUGCUUCAUUGCCAGCGUCUCGUCGUGCAAGUGCUGACUUUACUCGUCCUGUGUUUACCGCCGUUGCUUUUUAUUUAUGUGCAAAGAAACACAUGCUUAAAGUUGAUAAGGUUAGGCUGAUUGAGCUUUGUGGUACAUCUGAAUCUGAAUUUUCUAAUGUUUCUACUACCAUGAAGGACUUGUGUCAUGAUGUUUUUGGGGUUGCUAAAGAGAAGAAGGAUCCGAGAGAAGUGAAGUCAAAUCGAGAACUGCUUGAUGUUUUACCUAGCAAAAGGAAACCUGAGGAUGGUGGUUAUUUGUCUGAUGAAGGUCCAGAGCUUUCAAGUUAUAAGAGACGCAAACAAAUGGAAAAGGGUGAAUAUGAGAAGUGGAAGUCUUCUGUGGUUGCAUCCAACAAGCAAAACAGAACUGAAGGUAUACAUUGAAACAUCUUAUUUAGUCCUUUCUUCCCCCAGGAUUUCAGGAUUUGAAUCCUAUAAAGUGAAGAGAUUGUAAAGUGAUAAUUGAGAGUAAUCAACAUUAAAGUACUUGGUGAGAACUUGGAAUGGAAGUAUUGAUGCAAGGGCACGUUGCAAGCGAACCAAGCAGACUCGCCUUGACUUUCUCAAGGAAUCCCCAGAGACCCAGGAGUUGGAGGCUGCGUGAGAUCACUGAGAUGCUAUUGUCUUGUUUUAUGGUGAUAGGUGAGAAGGUUCACUAUUGUUUGGGAACAGAUGAACAAAGGUGCCAUUAACUGAUUGCAACUCAAGACAAAGCUCUGGUUGAUUUUGCCAGUGUUUAUAAUUUUGUAGUGUUACUCUGCAAUUAUUCAAGGAUUAGUUGGCAAGAAUUCUGUACAGACUUGCGUUAAUAUUGUAUUUUUAUUGGUAUUUGGUUUCGAAAAAUGCCUUUUAUAUCUUUGCAUACGCGGAUGCGGGGAUAUCAAGUAUGUAUAUACAUCUUUCUUGGCAUAUUUCAUUGUUUUAAACCUGCCAGUAUUGUCUCUGAUACUAAAAGAUACAAUUCAAGAUCACGUUAA